rnacentral:rRNA from 1 species
UACUCUGACCGUGCGAAGGUAGCAUAAUCACUUGUUCUUUAAAUGAGGACUAGUAUCAACGGCACCACGAGGAUCUUACUGUCUCCUCCCCCCAAUCAGUGAAACUAAUCUCCCCGUGAAGAAGCGGGGAUAAAAAUAUAAGACGAGAAGACCCCAUGGAGCUUUAAACCCGAAGACACCCGUUUAUUUAAAAUCCUAUUAUUUGUACGGUUAUUGUUCAUUCGAUUUUAGGUUGGGGUGACCUCGGAGUAUAAAUUAACCUCCAUGAAGAAAAGACUAAUAAUCCUUAUCAGAGAAUUACACUUCCAAGAAUUAAUAAACUAAUUUAAUAUGAUCCAUUAUUUGAUCAACGAACCAAGUUACCCUGGGGAUAACAGCGCAAUCCAUCUCAAGAGCCCCUAUCGACAGAUGGGUUUACGACCUCGAUGUUGGAUCAGGGUAUCCUAGUGGUGCAGCAGCUACUAAGGGUUCGUUUGUUCAACGAUUAAAACCCU